CUGGGAUAUCAUCAUAUACUGUAAGUUUGUGAUGAGACACUACAGUAUAGAUGAUGUACUAGUC
rnacentral:pre_miRNA from 1 species